rnacentral:rRNA from 1 species
AGAGAGAGACAUGCGCGCAUAUCAAUAAGCGGAGGAAAAGAAACUAACAAGGAUUCCCUUAGUAACGGCGAGUGAAGCGGGAAGAGCUCAAAUUUGAAAUCUUCAAGGUUCUACCUUGACGAAUUGUAGUUUAUAGAAGUGUUUUCUGUUAGUGGAGUGGCAAAAGUUCUUUGGAAUAGGACAUCAUAGAGGGUGAGAAUCCCGUAUUUGGUCAUUCCUCCUAGCGUUGUGAUACACUUUCAACGAGUCGGAUUGUUUGGGAAUGCAGUCCAAAAUGGGUGGUAAAUUUCAUCUAAAGCUAAAUAUUGGCGAGAGACCGAUAGCGAACAAGUACCGUGAGGGAAAGAUGAAAAGAACUUUGAAAAGAGAGUUAAACAGUACGUGAAAUUGUCAAAAGGGAAGCGUUUGACACCAGUGUUGUUUUUCCGAAAAUCAAUUACGAAUGUUUUAUUUUUGAGGAGUUAUGACUUCAUCGGCUUGCUCCUUUCUUUAUGAAACUUUCUUAAUGCACUUUUCGGUUAACAAGUCAACAUCAAUUUCUUUUGUUGUAAAAGGGUAUGAGGAAGGUGGCUUUCUUUUCGGAGAAAGUGUUUAUAGCCUUGUGCCUCUGCAAUCGGAGAGAUUGAGGUCUGCAGCGUAGAUCCUUCGGGGUUAGAUACGUUUGUGCUAAGUUAUAGCUUUUCAUAGACAACUUGUUGACUAUGUUUAGUCUUGUAGCUUACUCGCUGAUGCUAUUUUACCUACGCUUAGGAUGUUGAUAGUCACAGCGUGUAC